rnacentral:rRNA from 1 species
GACGAACGCUGGCGGCGUGCUUAACACAUGCAAGUCGAACGAUGAACCCGGAGCUUGCUCCGGUGGAUUAGUGGCGAACGGGUGAGUAACACGUGAGUAACCUGCCCUUGACUCUGGGAUAACUGCGGGAAACUGUAGCUAAUACCGGAUACGACCCUCGGCGGCAUCGCCAGGGGGUGGAAAGAAUUUCGGUCAAGGAUGGACUCGCGGCCUAUCAGCUAGUUGGUGAGGUAAUGGCUCACCAAGGCGACGACGGGUAGCCGGCCUGAGAGGGUGACCGGCCACACUGGAACUGAGACACGGUCCAGACUCCUACGGGAGGCAGCAGUGGGGAAUAUUGCACAAUGGGCGAAAGCCUGAUGCAGCAACGCCGCGUGAGGGAUGAAGGCCUUCGGUUGGUAAACUCUUUAGUCAGGAAGAAGCGAAAGUGACGGUACCUGCAGAAAAAGACACCGG